rnacentral:misc_RNA from 1 species
GAUGAAGAACGCAGCGAAAUGCGAUAAGUAGUGUGAAUUGCAGAAUUCAGUGAAUCAUCGAAUCUUUGAACGCACAUUGCGCCCCUUGGUAUUCCAUGGGGCAUGCCUGUUCGAGCGUCAUUUGUACCUUCAAGCUUUGCUUGGUGUUGGGUGUUUGUCCCGAGGGACUCGCCUUAAAGUAAUUGGCAGCCAGUGUUUGGUUUUGAAGCGCAGCACAAGUCGCGAUUCAAGGCUACACGCCCGCUUCCACAAGCCUUUUUUCACUUUUGACCUCGGAUCAGGUAGGGAUACCCGCUGAACUUAAGCAUAUCAAUAGGCGGAGGA